rnacentral:piRNA from 1 species
UAAAGCAUUCCACCGUUUUUCAUCUAGA